rnacentral:rRNA from 1 species
AGAGUUUGAUCCUGGCUCAGGAUGAACGCUGGCGGCGUGCUUAACACAUGCAAGUCGAACGAUGACCUCCAGCUUGCUGGGGUGAUUAGUGGCGAACGGGUGAGUAACACGUGAGUAACCUGCCCUUAACUCUGGGAUAAGCCUGGGAAACUGGGUCUAAUACCGGAUAUGACUCCUCAUCGCAUGGUGGGGGGUGGAAAGCUUUUUGUGGUUUUGGAUGGACUCGCGGCCUAUCAGCUUGUUGGUGAGGUAAUGGCUCACCAAGGCGACGACGGGUAGCCGGCCUGAGAGGGUGACCGGCCACACUGGGACUGAGACACGGCCCANACUCCUACGGGAGGCAGCAGUGGGGAAUAUUGCACAAUGGGCGAAAGCCUGAUGCAGCGACGCCGCGUGAGGGAUGACGGCCUUCGGGUUGUAAACCUCUUUCAGUAGGGAAGAAGCGAAAGUGACGGUACCUGCAGAAGAAGCGCCGGCUAACUACGUGCCAGCAGCCGCGGUAAUACGUAGGGCGCAAGCGUUAUCCGGAAUUAUUGGGCGUAAAGAGCUCGUANGCGGUUUGUCGCGUCUGCCGUGAAAGUCCGGGGCUCNACUCCGGAUCUGCGGUGGGUACGGGCAGACUANACNUGAUGUAGGGGGAGACUGGAAUUCCUGGGUGUANCGGUGAAAUGCGCAGAUAUCANGAGGAACACCG